UCACUAUGAUGAAGUUUACUCCUCCCAUUCGUAGUUUCCACCAGAGGUUGUAAUACCAAAGAUGGCCUUAAACCUUCCUUGGAUGUCUGAGUGA
ensembl:snoRNA SNORD14 Small nucleolar RNA SNORD14